CCUGAACGCUGGCGGCGUGGCUAAGACAUGCAAGUCGUACGGGUGUAGCAAUACACCAGUGGCGAACGGGUGAGUAAUGUAUCGCUAAUGUGCCCCGGAUUCUGGGAUAGCUAUCCGAAAGGGUAGGUAAUACCAGAUGAUAUAACCUUGUCGCAUGGCAGGGUUCUCAAAGGAGCAAUCCGCUCUGGGAGCAGGCGAUAUCGUAUCAGCUUGUUGGUGAGGUAAUGGCUCACCAAGGCGACGACGCGUAGCCGGACUGAGAGGUUGGCCGGCCACA
rnacentral:rRNA from 1 species